GUACUCGCUUCAGCAGUUAUGUAUACUAAAAUUGGAAUGACAGAGAAAAUUAGCAUAGUCCCUGCGUGCAAGGAUGACUCACAAAGUCAUGAACCACUCUAUGUUUUU